UACGAAGGGGGCUAGCGUUGCUCGGAAUUACUGGGCGUAAAGCGCACGUAGGCGGAUUCUUAAGUCGGUGGUGAAAUCCUGGAGCUCAACUCCAGAACUGCCUUCGAUACUGGGAAUCUUGAGUUCGGGAGAGGUGAGUGGAACUGCGAGUGUAGAGGUGAAAAUUCGUAGAUAUUCGCAAGAACACCAGUGGCGAAGGCGGCUCACUGGCUCGGUACUGACGCUGAGGUGCGAAAGCGUGGGGAGCAAACAGGG
rnacentral:rRNA from 1 species